rnacentral:miRNA from 1 species
ACAAAGACAUUGGAAGGCUUA